AAAGGAAGGGAAGGGAAGGGAAGGGAAGGGAUAGCAAGUUGUAUCUGAAAGUCCCUGAAACUCUUGCAUAUAAAUUUGGGAUAAGGAGAAAAAGACCACGAAGGAUAGAGAGAGGAAGAAAAAGAGGAAGGAAGGAAGGGAAGAGGGAAACAUCGCGAAAGAUUGAGAGAGGGAGAGAGGAAGGAAGGAAGGAAGGAAGGAAGGAAGGAAGGGAGGGAAGGAAGGAAGGAAGGAAGGGAAGGGAAAAAAGAAAGAAAGGAAGGAAGGAAGGGAGGAAGGGAAUUAUAAGGAGACACGUUAUUGGCAAUGAAGAUUCAAUUUGUACAGUGCACAACCCGGGGCCUGAGCAGUGCCACAAAGGAUGACCCCAACCACUAAGAGGCCCCUCAAGACAACCUGACACACAUAUAUCACUUAAAACAUAUAAAAAUACACAGGGGGGCGCGUUGCUUCGCUCACCUUACAUGCCAGCCUCUGGGGUUCCUCAAGGCGAGUCUCCCCCUUCUUAUUUUGAAAACAUCCCGGCACUUUUGUUAUGGAGUAUUCCCCCUAUUAGUACGCACUUUUGCCAUGGAGUAUUCCCCCUAUUAGUACGCACUUUUGCUAUGGAGUAUCCCCUAUUAGUACGCACUUUUGCUAUGGAGUAUUCCCCCUAUUAGUACGCACUUUUGCAAUGAAGUAUUCCCCCUUUAGUACGCAAUUUUGCUAUGGAGUAUUCCCCCUAUUAGUACGCACUUUUGCUAUGGAGUAUUCCCUCUAUUAGUACGCACUUUUGCUAUGGAGUAUUUCCCCUAUUAGUACGCACUUUUGCUAUGGAUUAUUCCCCAUUAGUACGCACGUUUGCAAUGGAGUAUUCCCCCUAUUAGUACGCACUUUUGUUAUCGCCUUGCUUAUGUCAUGAUCUCCGUGGGCGUCCCCUUGGCCUGCUCCUAGAGAAGAUAUUAUUAUUAUUAUUAUUAUUAUUAUUAUUAUUAUUAUUAUUAUUAUUAUUAUUAUUUACAGAUGAAGGUGGUGAUGGUGGUGGUGGUGAUGGUAGUGGUCGGAGGAGAGGAAGGAAGAGGAGGAGGAGGAGGAGGAGGAGGAGAAGGAGGAGGGGGAGGAGGACCCCGCCCCCCUUCUUCCUCUCCUUCCUUCGCCUCCUCCUCCUCUUCCUCUUCCUUCCGGCCUCAUCGCUUGGAAGAGGAAAUAGAGAGAGAUCGUUCGCCGCUGUUGAGGUCGAGCAAGAUACUGCCUUUCUUUAAUAAUCCUCUUCAACACUUUACGUCAAAUGUGGCAGGACGACCUCUACUACCACAAGCCUCUACAGUGUCAGCAAAUCGUCCCCCACACUGCGCAGGCGACGGGAAAUACUGCGUCUUUGACCGUCACUACCCCAUGGCAAAGGUCAACGCAGUGGUGGACCAAUACUACAAUGAUGUUACGCUUCUCUACAAUGACCUUUACCGUGUAUCUGGCAACGCUGUCAUGCUAUACGACAAUAGGACAAGGAGCGCCCCAAGGUAACACACUUUCCUAUUAGUACGCACUUUUGUAAUGGAGUUUUCCCCUAUUGGCACGCAAUUUUGUUAUGGAGUUUUCCCCUAUUGGUACGCACUUUUGCUAUGGCGUGGUCCCCCUAUUAGUACGCACCUUUGUUAUGGAGUCCUCCCCCUAUUAGUACGCAGUUUUGCUAUGGAGUAUUCCCCCUAUUAGUACGCACUUUUGCUAUGGAGUAUUCAUCCCUAUUAGUACGCAGUUUUGCUAUGGAGUAUUCAUCCCUAUUAGUACGCAGUUUUGCUAAGGAGUGUUUCCCCUAUUAGGAAGAGAUUUUGCUAUGGAGUAUUCAUCCCUAUUAGUACGCACUUUUGCUUAUGAGUGUUUCCCCUAUUAGUACGCACUUUUGCUAUGGAGAAUUGAGAAAAUAAAAAAUAAAAUAAGAAAAAUAAUGAAAAAUCAACAUUGCCAAAAACUAAUCUAACCCUUCCUCCUCUUCCUCCUCCUCCUCCUCCUCUUCUUCUUCCACAGGUACAGCUAUCAACGCCUCAUCAGCCUGACGCCCCAUAUACCAAGCUUUAAACCUGUUGUGGACGUGUUUCAAAUUCCCUCGUCUUGUUCCUGUUUUGUGGAGGACUUUACGUAUUUUUAGAGGAGGAGGAGGAGAGGAACUGUAUAUGAGAGGGAAAUGAGAAGAUUGUAAUUAGAGAAAGAAGAGGAAGAGGAAGAAGAAGAGGAGGAGGAGGAGGUGGAGGAGGAGGAGGAGGAGGAAGGCCGUAGUUCAUAUAUAAAGAAUUGAUUUGAAAGGAAUUUAAAUGGAGAGAGAGAGAGAGAGAGAGAGAGAGAGAGAGAGAGAGAGAGAGAGAGAGAGAGAGAGAGAGAGAGAGAGAGAGAGAGAGAGAGAGAGAGAGAGAGAGAGAGAGAGAGAGAGA